AGGCUCUUGGACGGCGAAGCUGGGCAUGGUGGUGGGCAACUGUAAUCCCAGCUACUCAGGAGGCUGAGGCAGGAGAAUUGCUUGAACCUGGGAGGCAGAGGUUGCAGUGAGCUGAGAUCACGCCAUUGCACUCUAGCCCAGGCAACAGAAGUGAAACUCUGCCUAAAAAAAAAAGAAAAGAAAAGAAAGAAAGAAAGGUGGCCCCGUUAAUGUUUAUGCCAAGACAGCCGGCAUGACCUGGAAGUGUCCCAAGCCACAGGGCAUCUUGUUUCCGGGGAGGAUGAAUGAAUCAAAUCGCACCUAUUUUGAGGCAAGCAAGGACUCUGUGACUUCAGGAGCCCUGGUGGGUGGACAGAAGCUCCCUGCUCCCCCAGCCUGUCUACCCAGCAGCGCUUUGGCCAGUCCCAUUCCUGUACUUCUGAGCCUGCCUGUCAGUCCCUCCUCACACGCACACCGUGGCUUUGUGCCUGGUACUGAGUGUCCCGGAGCCCCAAACCACAGGGUCAACCCCAUGAAAGAAACCGGGACUCUGCUCUCAUCCACUCGCCCCCACCCCCCGCGUAAUCCCCUGGUGCUCACACAGCCCCACCGUAAAGUUUUUGUAGCUCCCUGGCAGACUUGUGCUCCUGUUUGCCAGAUCAAAGCCCAGUGACCUGAGCGGCCUGUCCCCAGCAGAGGCCACUAGUCCCUGUGGACCCACCCCAUUGGGAAAGGCAUGGGUUGAACUUUAACCAUUAGGCUCAGGGAUUGGGAUGAGUUUCUACAAAAAGAGGUGGGUACACGCCAGUCCACAGUGGUCCUGAUCAAAGUGAGAACAGACAGCAGGGAACAUCACCCUCUUCAGAUUGGAGUCAGUGGGAACAGACCUAAGAUGUUGGGGAAGAACACUUGGAAGACCUCAGCUUUCUCCUGGGUUGAGCAGAUGUGGGCCCCUCUCUGGAGUCGUUCGAUGAGGCCAGGGUGAUGGUGUUCUCAGCGUUCCUGUGCGCGGCGAACCAGCAGUAACACUUUGCACCCACUCUGGACGGGCCCGGUCUCCGUGCCAGGGGGCACCCGGCAGUCUCCUAUCAACAUCCAGUGGAGGGACAGCGUCUAUGACCCCUGGCUGAAGCCACUCAGGGUCUCCUAUGACGUGGCAUCCUGCCUGUACAUCUGGAACACUGGCUACCUCUUCCAGGUGGAAUUUGACGAUGCCACCAAGGCAUCAGGCCUUGUCUCUCACAGGGCCACAGCAGCUGCCCAGGACAGAGUCUGACGCCCCAGGCCUCUGUCAGGAGUGCCGAGACUUCCUUCCCCAACUCCUGCUACUUCUCUGAAGAAUAACCUGGCCAAGGCAAGAGGCUGCAUUCAGGCCUGGGUGCCAUGGCUCACGCCUGUAAUCCCAGCACUUUAGGAGGCUGAGGUGGGCGGAUCACCUGAGGUCAGGAGUUCGAGACCAGCCUGAGCAACAUGGUAAAACCCCGUCUCUACAAAAAAAAAUUGCAAAAAUUUAGCCAGGAAUGGCGCCAUGCAUCUCUUGCUCCAGCUACUAGGGAGGCCGAGGCAGGAUUACUUGAACCCAGAAGCCUGAGGCCGCACUGAGCCAUGAUUGCACCAUUGCACUCUACCCGGCUUGACAGAGCAAGACCCGGUCUCAAAAAAAAAAGUUUUAAGUGAAAAGCAAAGAACUUCACCUCUGUGGUCUUCCUCCCUAAACUCCAUAAACCAAACCUAUUCAUGAGAAAAAGGAUCAGACAAACCCAAAUUUUAGGAAUAUUCAACUGGGUGUGGAGGCUCACACCUGUAAUCUCAGCACUGUAAGAGGCUGAGGCGAGAGGAUCACUUGAGCCUGGGAGUUCAAGAACAGCCUGGGCAACAUAGUGAGACCUCAUCUCUAGAAAAAAAAAAAAAAACAUAUAUAUAUAUAAUGCGUAUAUAUAAUGCGUAUAUAUAUAUGCGUGUAUAUGUGUAUAUAUAUAUGCAUGUAUAUAUAUAUAAUGUGUGUGUAUAUAUAUAUAUAUAUAUAUACAUUUUAAAUUUAUAAAGUUGUUUUUAAAAAGAAUAUUCUGAGGCCAGGUGCGGUGGCACACACCUGUAAUCCCAGCACUUUGGGAGGCCGAGGCAGGUAGAUCACCUGAGGUCAGGAGUUUGAGACCAGCCUGACCAACGUGGUGAAACCCCAUCUCUACUAAAAAUACAAAAAUUAGCUGGGCAUGGUGGCACACGCCUAUAAUCCCAGUAACUCGGGAGGCUGAGGCAGGAGAAUCACUUGAACCGGGGAGGUGGAGGUUGCAGUGAGCAGAGAUCACACCAUUGCACUCCAGCCUGGGUGACAGAGAGAGACUCCGUCCCCCGCCCCCCGUCCGCCAAAAAAAAAAAGAAUAUUCUACAAAAUACAAACCAGCACUCCUUGAAACUGUCAAGAUCAACAAAGGUGAAGCCUGAGAAGCUGUCAGGCUGAGGAAGCUAAGUAGAUGUGACAACUAAAUAUAAUGUGGUGUCACAAGGGAUCCUGAAGCAGAAAAGGACAUUAGGGGAAAACUAGAAAAAUAAAAAAAAAGUGUGAAGUUGAAUUAGUAAGAAAAAUUUUAAAAAAGGGUGAAGUUGAAUUAGUAUUAAUGUACCGUACAUCCACACAAUACACUGUUAUUCAACAAUAAACAAAAGGACUGGGCACGGUGGUUCACGCCUGUAAUCACAGCACUUUGGGAAGCCAAGGGGAGCGGAUCACCUGAGGUCAGGGGUUUGAGACCAGCCUGGCCAACAUGGUGAGACCUAGUCUCUACUAAAAAUACAAAAACUAGCUAGGUGUGGUAGCACAGGCCUGUAAUCCCAGCUACUUGGGAGGCUGAAGCAGAAUCGCUUGAACCCAGCAAGCAGAGGUUGCAGUGAGCCAAGAUCGUGCCACUGCACUCCAGCCUGGGUGACAGAGCAAGACUCCGUCUCAAAAAAAAAAAAACAAUAAACAUAGAUGAAGAUAUCCACAUGGCUGAACUUGAAAGCAUAGGGCCAAGUAGAAGCCAGACCCAGAAGACCACAUAUAUGAUUCCAUUUAUCUUCAAUGCCCAGAAGAAGCAAAUCUAGAGGCAGGAAGUAGAUGGGUGGUUGCCAGGGCUGGGGGGUGAGGAAAGGUGGGGAGUAGUGAGAAGGGGCUACUCAUGGGUCAGGUUUCUUUCAUGGUAGGAAAAAAAGGUUUUAAAAUUAGACUGUGGUGAUGGUUGCACAACCCUGUGAAUAUACAAAAAACCACUGAAGGGUACUGAAGCGUGGUGGCAGGUGCCUGUAGCCCCAGCUACUCGGGAGACUGAGGCAGGACAAUCCCUUGAACCCAGGAGGCAGAGGUUGCAGUGAGCUGAGAUCGUGCCAUUUGCACUCCAGCCCGGCAACAAGAGCGAAACUCCAUCUCAAAAAAAAAAAAAAAAAAACUUACUCAAACAAAAAGUUUAUAUCUAUCUAUCUAUCUAUAUGUAUCUCUUACAAACUGUAUACAUAUAAACUGCAUAUAUACACACACAACUAAAAAAGAAAAGCACACUGGGCACAGUAGCCCACACCUGUAACCCCAGCACUUUGGGAGGCUGAUCUGGGAGGAUCGGUUGAGUGCAGGAGUUUGAGACUAGCCUGGGCAACAUAGCAAGACCCUGCCACUACAAAAAAAAGUUUCUUAAUUAGCCAGGUGAAGUGGUGCACUCCUGUAGACCCAGCUACUUAGGAGGCUGAGGUGGGAGGAUCACUUGAACCCAGGAGUUCAAGGCUGCAUUGAGCUAUGAUCACACCACUGUACUCCAGUGUAGAGAGAUGUUGUCACCCCUACUGGGUGACAGUAACACCCUGUCUCUAAAAACAAAACAAACAAAAAGCCAAGGAGUGCUGUUUCAGAUGUGCUAUAAAGGCCACCCUAGCAAGAGGCAGCCACAUUUAUAAGUGCUGACAGGGACCUGAAAUAGCAAUGUGGUCACAGGAAGGGAGAACUUAGUGAGAUCGGGUGGUUCAUGAGGUGUCCCCUGGAUGCAUGAGUAGUUGUUUCCUAUUGGGGCUGUUAACAAAUUACCACAAACUGAGAGGUUGAAAACCACACCAAUUUAUUAUCUUACAGUUCU
rnacentral:lncRNA from 1 species